GCGCGCGAUUAAUAUCGCGGGUGCCGUGUUGUGAGCUCGAAGUCUUCAAAGUGCCGGAACAACGUGUAGAAUUUAGAGCACAAAUAUAGUAUAUAUGUAUUUCAUUAUAUAAUUUAAACCCAAGCUGUCAAUUGAGCUUAGUCAGAAAUUAAUCAGUUCAACUGUUAUUGAGAUCCGAUAAUCUUGGUUACUCGUAACUCGCGUUACAAGAUACACGGGCGAUACACAGGGCAGUCUCGUGUUACACUAAAGUAAUCUGUGCAGUCCCUGGAGGGCCAAAACGAGAGAAAAGGACAGUACGUGCAAUAAUUCUUUGGCAAUGUGUAGAACUUAUUGUUAGAGCACAAAGAUGCUAUUUUAAAUACAUAUCCAGUAGUGAAAGAAAUUGAGUUUGAAGAGAUCGUCGCAGAAUGGUUCCGGUUUGUUAAACAACGAUGAAUUCGAACAGCAGAAAAAGAGAAGAAAAAAGUAGAGAGAAGAAAGUAAAGACGACGGAGGCAAGACAGACUCUUUCAAGGUUGCAGAGUCUUAGAUAAAAGAUAAAUAUAGAUAUAUUUGAAGCGAGUGCUGGGUGGAUUGGUUAACAGGAAAUUCGUGGCCCGGGAUCUUCUGCUACGAUAGUGGAAAACCUGCGUUUUGUAAUAAGUUCCCAAUUCCUCUCAGUAUUAUUGCCAGUACUAAAAAUCUAUAGUUUACGUCACAUAGGAUUUUCACUACUGGCAUUAGUAGUAAAAGGAAUUAAAAACGCAUAUUUGAUCAUCACUCAAUAUCUAGUCAAUUAGUAUCUAAUAGUAUAAUAGUAUUUAGUCGAUAAGCGAAAUUUGCAAGAAAUGCAAGAAAUGUUCCUAAUGUUUUAAUUUAAGUUUUUACAUUUUGUUAGUGAUUGAAUACACAUAAUCGCUCUAUUAGUAUUUUAGUCAAUAGACGAAGUUUGCAAAAAAUGUUGUAAAAUAAUUUAAUAACACAUAUGCCUGUUUCUACUAACACUGUUUAUGCCCGAUUGCACCAACGUAAAUUAACUUUAAUCUCGGUUCAACUUGCUCUUCAUCUUCUUCUUAUUAUAAUCUCUAAAGUGACAUUUAAUUAACUUGCUCUUCAUUUUUUUUUCUAAUUCUUACAAUUAAAAAAAGAUGAAGAAUAAGUUGAACCGAGAUUAAAGUUAAUCUACGUUGAUGGAAUCGGACAUAAACCGAGAUUAAAAUUAAUCUAAUGUUGGCAGAAACGGGCUAUAAUUAUUUUCGUUUGGUGUAAGAAAUUUCAUUAUGAUAAACAGGAAUUGUGAACCAUUAUAAUAAUAACCAAGAAUUGUAAAUAAUUAUAAUAAUAUUAUAAUAAACAGAAAUUGUGAGCAAGUA